CCUCCCUGGCCUGGAAGGAGUGGCAUUUGGUGGUGAUGCCCAUCUUACAUAUCAUUCAGGGACAGAGCAAUCCCUUGUUUAUCCCAGCUUGGCUUUGUGUCAUGCCUGUGCCUGGUUCAUGCCUAGGACACAGGG